rnacentral:rRNA from 1 species
CUUUGGUUCUAUUUUGUUGGUUUCUAGGACCAAAGUAAUGAUUAAUAGGGAUAGUUGGGGGCAUUAGUAUUUAAUUGUCAGAGGUGAAAUUCUUGGAUUUAUGAAAGACUAACUUCUGCGAAAGCAUUUGCCAAGGAUGUUUUCAUUAAUCAAGAACGAAAGUUAGGGGAUCCAAGACGAUCAGAUACCGUCGUAGUCUUAACCAUAAACUAUGCCGACUAGGGAUUGGACAAUGUCUUUUUGACGUGUUCAGCACCUUGAGAGAAAUCAAAGUUUUUGGGUUCCGGGGGGAGUAUGGUCGCAAGGCUGAAACUUAAAGGAAUUGACGGAAGGGCACCACCAGGAGUGGAGAUUACGGCUUAAUUUGACUCAACACGGGGAAACUCACCA